rnacentral:rRNA from 1 species
AUAGCGUAUAUUAAAGUUGUUGCAGUUAAAAAGCUCGUAGUUGAACUUCAGACCUGGUUGGGCGGUCCGCUUAACGGCGUGUACUGUUUGACUGGGCCUUACCUCUUGGUGAGCCGGUGUGCCCUUUAUUGGUGUGCGUCGGGGAACCAGGACUUUUACCUUGAGAAAAUUAGAGUGUUCAAAGCAGGCCUAUGCCCGAAUACAUUAGCAUGGAAUAAUAAAAUAGGACGUGCGGUUCUAUUUUGUUGGUUUCUAGAGUCGCCGUAAUGAUUAAUAGGGAUAGUUGGGGGCAUUGGUAUUGAGUCGCUAGAGGUGAAAUUCUUGGAUUGACUCAAGACCAACUACUG